UUUAUAUGAGAGUUUGAUCCUGGCUCAGGAUGAACGCCGGCGGUGUGCCUAAUACAUGCAAGUCGUACGCACUGGCCCAACUGAUUGAUGGUGCUUGCACCUGAUUGACGAUGGAUCACCAGUGAGUGGCGGACGGGUGAGUAACACGUAGGUAACCUGCCCCGGAGCGGGGGAUAACAUUUGGAAACAGAUGCUAAUACCGCAUAACAACAAAAGCCACAUGGCUUUUGUUUGAAAGAUGGCUUUGGCUAUCACUCUGGGAUGGACCUGCGGUGCAUUAGCUAGUUGGUAAGGUAACGGCUUACCAAGGCGAUGAUGCAUAGCCGAGUUGAGAGACUGAUCGGCCACAAUGGAACUGAGACACGGUCCAUACUCCUACGGGAGGCAGCAGUAGGGAAUCUUCCACAAUGGGCGCAAGCCUGAUGGAGCAACACCGCGUGAGUGAAGAAGGGUUUCGGCUCGUAAAGCUCUGUUGUUGGAGAAGAACGUGCGUGAGAGUAACUGUUCACGCAGUGACGGUAUCCAACCAGAAAGUCACGGCUAACUACGUGCCAGCAGCCGCGGUAAUACGUAGGUGGCAAGCGUUAUCCGGAUUUAUUGGGCGUAAAGCGAGCGCAGGCGGUUGCUUAGGUCUGAUGUGAAAGCCUUCGGCUUAACCGAAGAAGUGCAUCGGAAACCGGGCGACUUGAGUGCAGAAGAGGACAGUGGAACUCCAUGUGUAGCGGUGGAAUGCGUAGAUAUAUGGAAGAACACCAGUGGCGAAGGCGGCUGUCUGGUCUGCAACUGACGCUGAGGCUCGAAAGCAUGGGUAGCGAACAGGAUUAGAUACCCUGGUAGUCCAUGCCGUAAACGAUGAGUGCUAGGUGUUGGAGGGUUUCCGCCCUUCAGUGCCGGAGCUAACGCAUUAAGCACUCCGCCUGGGGAGUACG
rnacentral:rRNA from 2 species